rnacentral:misc_RNA from 1 species
UAAUGUUUAUCCGCUUGGGAUUAAGGUGGAGGCAGCUCCCAAAGCUGUAAAACGUGUAAUUCAUCACCAUGGAAGGUGGCUUGCUGUGUCUUAAAUGGAGGGAUCAUCGUUCAACUUUUUUUCGCAUGCUCUCAUCUGUUCGGAAAAAAGAGUUAUACUGUGAUGCAACAAUAGCAUGUGAUGGUAAGUUCUACCCGGUUCACAAAUUGAUUCUUUCAGCGUGUAGUGACUAUUUUGAACAGAUGUUUGAACUGUCGGAAAACAAGAAUCUUAUGAUUGUUUUGACCGAUAUUAAUCACAAGGAGCUUGAAACUCUCUUGGACUACAUGUACCUGGGUGAGGUCAAUAUUCUGCAGAGUGACCUUACGAUGUUCAUGAAGGCCGCUGAACAUCUCCAGAUAAAGGGUUUAGCAGAACCUUCGGAAUCAAAUCAGAAAAAAGAAUUGACAUACAACAAGAGAAAUCUGACGCAAAGGGAAGACAUCAGUGAUGCAAAGAGAAGGAGGCUGAGUGCUGAUGACCACUUGCCGAAAUCUCGUUCUGUGUCUACAAACCAAAGUGAACAUUCAGUGACAACCAGAAGUACAAUGGGGGGAAGGGAUGUAUCCAGUGAACCAAAGAAUCAAGAGGAAGUGUCUGAAAGUGUUCAAAUAAAUAAUACUCCAAAUUCUGACAUAGUCUCACCAGCUCAGUUGGCAUCAGCGGAACUCUCUUGUGAGGCCCCAACCAGCAAAAGGCCAGAGCCAGCACCUACGUUAUCCAAAGCUCAGGAUCAUAAUAGGCCUAGCAGUGACGUUUCAUCAUGUGAGGGAUCACAGGUGAAAGUAGAGGACUUUAAUGUCAAGGAGGAGCCUGAAGAUUGGCCGCAAACAGAAGCUAGUGAGAACUCCCAAAUGUUUGGUUUCUCAGAUCCUGGCCUGGCAUAUUUGGCUCAUGCCUCUAACUUGCCUGUUCGAGCCCAGGGGUCUGCCGUCAUGAAUCAAAUAGCAACUACCCAGUCACAGGCUACAGCAGCCGAACUCCAGACCCACCCUCUGCCUGGACCUUCAGGCAUACAAGCUACAUCUGGCGGAUGGGAACAACAGCCUCCUUCAGCAAGACUGCCGUCAGAGGACUAUUUGCAGUAUAGAAGCAUAGCCAAGGGGGUUAGUCCUAGGAAAAUGGGUCGCCCAACAUCUGAAAUUUGGAAACACUACAAAUCAUACAAGAUAGCUGAGAAGACUGUUGCUUACUGCAGAUAUUGUCUGUUGAAAUAUGGUUUCCCCAAUGCCACCAAGAUGAAGGCGCAUAUUGUGAAAUGCAAGAAGUGUCCUGAAGAGGUUAAAAAGCACUUCAAAGAAGCUAACCAGGAGGCAGAAUGUCUAGACAGCCUUGUGUUAAGGGAAGCCCUUGGAGCAGUUCAGAAUGAGCCCAAGGUUCUCUCAGAUGUGGCUAAACCUUAGCCUCACCGUGAUCUGUCUCUCGAGUGGUUUGAUAAAAGAUGUGACGCAUUAUUAGCAGAUUUUGACAUUUUAGAAUGGAGACCGAAGAAUGCAGGCAAUAAACCAAGACAGAAAAGCAAGAAGGCGCGGGAGGUGUAGCAUUUGCCCGCGGAAAAACGACAAAAAGUCCGCCAAACAAUGCUCUCUCUGUUAUAAAUGGGUGUG